GAUGAACGCUGGCGGCGUGCCUAAUACAUGCAAGUCGAGCGAACAGAUGAGGAGCUUGCUCCUCUGACGUUAGCGGCGGACGGGUGAGUAACACGUGGAUAACCUACCUAUAAGACUGGGAUAACUUCGGGAAACCGGAGCUAAUACCGGAUAAUAUAUUGAACCGCAUGGUUCAAUAGUGAAAGACGGUUUUGCUGUCACUUAUAGAUGGAUCCGCGCCGCAUUAGCUAGUUGGUAAGGUAACGGCUUACCAAGGCAACGAUGCGUAGCCGACCCGAGAGGGUGAUCGGCCACACUGGAACUGAGACACGGUCCAGACUCCUACGGGAGGCAGCAGUAGGGAAUCUUCCGCAAUGGGCGAAAGCCUGACGGAGCAACGCCGCGUGAGUGAUGAAGGUCUUCGGAUCGUAAAACUCUGUUAUUAGGGAAGAACAAAUGUGUAAGUAACUAUGCACGUCUUGACGGUACCUAAUCAGAAAGCCACGGCUAACUACGU
rnacentral:rRNA from 1 species